CGGAUAAGGAAUUUCACAGUAAAGCGUACUCAAAACAAGCAUAAGCAAGCACAGUUAGCGGGGGUAUAUGGGAGGAAGCCAAUCUGAAGUAACUCCAAUUGCUCCUUCGCAUCACUAAGGAAAAUCUUUACUCACACAUACCACAGUCUAUUGUUGUCAACUCACAUAGUCCCACCUACCAGCAACAAGACGACUACUCCCUGCACACCACUAAAUAGAGCUAUUUAACACUAUAGUUCACCCAAUACAAGAAUGACAGCCCUUAGACGCUUAAGGCUAUAGCCAUGGACUACGCUUUCGUGAGACCCCUCUAUUUGACUAGCAUUCCCCCCCUUUGAUUAGCCGGUUUCAAAGAGGGAGAAGAGCAGGAUCAAACUUCCUUGGGAAUGAAAGUUGAUAGGCAAAGACUUCUUCCUUCAAAGCUUAAAGCAUUAGAUUCAUUCACACGGGUUGCUUCCUAUUUUAUAGCUGGACACUUUGACCGAAAGCUAUAGAAAGCUAUGGUCGAAGAGGCAGUAGACAAAGAUCUUUCUAAAGACCUUCCCCCACUAGUAGUUUGAAAGGAAACUUUCUCGAUUAGGAUCCGUCCAUUGCUGGGCUCUUCCUACCCACAGGCGGGUUCCCCGACAAAAGGAUUUUUUUACUACAUAGUUGAAUGCCCCCAAUGGAAGGUACUUAUUUCUCUCUAGGGCCUGGCCAGUUUCAUAAUUUACUUAAGUAAAGGGGUUUGAACUUUGAAGACCUUGACAAGACUAAAAAAGGUAGGCCCUAAUCGCUCCCUAGUCAGAUUGGUUGAGAAGGAGGUCGUUCGUAUGCUUAUUUUACAAUAAGACCUACUCAAAGCAAAGGGUUUGAAAAAAAGGCCCCUUCAGUAGGCUCUGCCUCAUUAUAGCCGGCCCUAUGG
rnacentral:misc_RNA from 1 species